rnacentral:SRP_RNA from 1 species
CUGCACUAGUUGGGGAGCCAGCGGUGCCCUGUAACCUGCAAUCCGCUAUAGCAGGGAUGAAUUCCCAACCAAGGGUAUGUGAUGUAUCGACUGACCUCGGUAAGCGAUGUUGACGCUUCGGUCUUGCGCAACGGAGUCCCGUGAACCAUGUCAGGCGGGGAACCGAGCAGCAUUAAGCGGGUCACUCCGUGUGCCGCGAGGGUGCCGGAGCCGAGUUGGCUGCCGUUGUAACGGAUGGGUCACAUUUCCCGAAGAAGGGUGUGCAG